rnacentral:rRNA from 1 species
CAAUAGCGUAUAUUAAAGUUGUUGCGGUAAAAAAGCUCGUAGUUGGAUUUCUGUUGAGAGCGACCGGUCCAUACCAUGUAUGCGUAUCUGGCUUGCUCUCGGCAUCCUCUCGAUAGACGUUACUGCGCUUGAUUGCGUGGUGCGGAUCUCGGGACUUUUACUUUGAGGAAAUUAGAGUGUUCACGGCAGGCUUUCGCCAGAAUACAUUAGCAUGGAAUAAUACUAUAGGAUCUUGGUUCUAUUUUGUUGGUUUCUAGAAUUGAGAUAAUGAUUAAUAGGGACAAUUGGGGGCAUUCGUAUCAACACGUCAGAGGUGGAAUUCUUGGAUUGUGUUGCGACGAACUACUGCGAAAGCAUUUGCCAAGGAUGCUUUCAUUGA